UCCAAAGCUUCUUAAAUAGAUCUUGGGAUUUCAACAGCUUACUUCCUGCAAUAAAACAGCCAGUGCCAUUAACAAAACUGCAUUGUGGCUUGUACAAAGUUUUCCUUCAUCAUUUGAUGCAAAGGUUCCUCUACUUGGUGAGUUCUGCAGGAUGCUCCAAUAGCAGACAGGUCCGUAAGAUCAGAGAACACAAAUAUAUGAAGGAAUCAAUAUCAUAUUUCUAUUUAUCCAUGGACAUGAAUUUUUGUGGAGUCUUUAAAAACAUCAGAAACUGCAGACUUUCAAAAAGAAGGAUGUCCAGCCGACUGCAAUUGGCCGACACAAUGUUUAUUGUCCUGGCUGCCCACAUUCUGAAUGGAGCUACAAUAUGCUGCACGUCCCUUGCUUUGACGAACAAAUUCAGCCUAUCAGCAUGAGUAUGAAUGCUUAGCAGAGAAUCAAAAUCCUUGAACUCCUUUUCUAACAGCACUGUGGUUAUUCCAACAACACUUGGACUUCAUUGAUUCAAGUAGACAGCAUGCCACCAUCUUCUGAAGGACAAUUAGAGAUGUGCAAUAAAUAUUGACCCAGCCACGUC